GACGAACGCUGGCGGCGUGCUUAACACAUGCAAGUCGAGCGGUAAGGCCCUUUCGGGGGUACACGAGCGGCGAACGGGUGAGUAACACGUGGGUGACCUGCCCUUAGCUCUGGGAUAAGCCUGGGAAACUGGGUCUAAUACCGGAUAUGACUCCAUAACGCAUGUUGUGGGGUGGAAAGCCUUGUGCGGCUAGGGAUGGGCCCGCGGCCUAUCAGCUUGUUGGUGGGGUGAUGGCCUACCAAGGCGACGACGGGUAGCCGGCCUGAGAGGGCGACCGGCCACACUGGGACUGAGACACGGCCCAGACUCCUACGGGAGGCAGCAGUGGGGAAUCUUGCGCAAUGGGCGAAAGCCUGACGCAGCGACGCCGCGUGGGGACGACGGCCUCGGUUGUAA
rnacentral:rRNA from 1 species